CUUUGACCUCGGAUCAGGUAGGGAUACCCGCUGAACUUAAGCAUAUCAAUA
rnacentral:rRNA from 4 species